GCAUGAUGAAUUUAGAAUAUGCUCAAAAGUGAUCAGAAAGUUGCCAAAAAAAAAAAGGAUAAAAAUGCCAGUCCAACAAAGGCUACAAUACAACUCCAAAAUAUCAGAAACAAAAGCUUCCACAGAAAAUAAAGUGCAGACAUGUCUAAUUGAUACCCAGCUGGAUGAUAGAAAGCUCAGAAAGUGAAAAAAUAGGUAAUCAGUAACCUGCUGGAAAAAUCAGCAACAGUUCCAUUCCAGCAUAGCAAAGUAUAGGAAGUCGAUAGAUUGAAAGGAAGAUGAAAUGCAUCAAACAUACACAAUAUAAGACAUAAGUGUAAU
rnacentral:lncRNA from 1 species